rnacentral:rRNA from 1 species
CCUACGGGGCGCAGCAGUGAGGAAUAUUGGUCAAUGGACGAGAGUCUGAACCAGCCAAGCCGCGUGAAGGAUGACUGCGCCAUGGGUUGUAAACUUCUUUUAUCUGGGAAUAAAGUGUUCCACGUGUGGGAUUUUGUAUGUACCAUAUGAAUAAGCAUCGGCUAACUCCGUGCCAGCAGCCGCGGUAAUACGGAGGAUCCGAGCGUUAUCCGGAUUUAUUGGGUUUAAAGGGUGCGUAGGUGGGUCGGUAAGUCAGUUGUGAAAGGUUGCGGCUCAACCGUAAAAUUGCAGUUGAAACUGGCAGUCUUGAGUACAGGAGAGGUAGGCGGAAUUCGUGGUGUAGCGGUGAAAUGCUUAGAUAUCACGAAGAACUCCGAUUGCGAAGGCAGCUCACUGGACUGCAACUGACACUGAGGCUCGAAAGUGUGGGUAUCAAACAGGAUUAGAUACCCGAGUAGUC